rnacentral:tRNA from 1 species
UCCCUGGUGGUCUGGUGGUUAAGACUCUGCUCUUUCACUGCAAGGGCCUGGGUUCAAUCCCUGGUCGGGGAA